UGGGAAUAUUGCACAAUGGGGGAAACCCUGAUGCAGCAACGCCGCGUGAGUGAAGAAGUCAUUCGUGAUGUAAAGCUCUAUCAGCAGGGAAGAAAAUGACGGUACCUGACUAAGAAGCCCCGGCUAACUACGUGCCAGCAGCCGCGGUAAUACGUAGGGGGCAAGCGUUAUCCGGAUUUACUGGGUGUAAAGGGAGCGUAGACGGCAAUGCAAGCCAGAUGUGAAAGCCCGGGGCUCAACCCCGGGACUGCAUUUGGAACUGUGUAGCUGGAGUGUCGGAGAGGCAGGCGGAAUUCCUAGUGUAGCGGUGAAAUGCGUAGAUAUUAGGAGGAACACCAGUGGCGAAGGCGGCCUGCUGGACGAUAACUGACGUUGAGGCUCGAAAGCGUGGGGAGCAAACAGG
rnacentral:rRNA from 1 species